rnacentral:ncRNA from 16 species
UCCUUUCAAGGAAGCUUUCCGAGCUUCGGACCGGGUAACUGGUUCGGAUUGGAACGCUCCGAUAAAAAGUCCUCUCUCUAGGAUCAGGAGAGGCACAGCCAAGGAACCAUCUCCCGUGACUUCGGUCAUGGAAGCGCCGUCAACAUAUCCCGUCCAGCAACAAUCGUCGGACCCUUUUGGGCUAGUAGCUCAGUUGGUUAGAGCACACGCUUGAUAAGCGUGGGGUCGGAGGUUCAAGUCCUCCCUGGCCCACCAUCGGGAUCACCAUCGGGGGCGUAGCUCAGCUGGGAGAGCACCUGCUUUGCAAGCAGGGGGUCGUCGGUUCGAUCCCGUCCGCCUCCACCAGGUGGCCCAAUAUUGUGUUAGGUUGCCUGAUGCCGGAAGGCGGUGGGAAGGACGGAAGACGGUUGUUGGUUGGGAAAAGAGAUCGGACAGGCGUCCGGCAGUCGCGAUGCGGCGCCGGGUGUUUUUGUCUGGUGAGUUUGUUCUUUGUCAGUGUGAAUAGGUUGGUGCGUUUGUGUGCGUGCCGUGUCGCGGGUUGGUCUGACCCAUGCGAUGGUCCGGGGAACCGGGGUAUUGCGUGCUGUGCGAUGUGGCGGAAGCGUACAUGGACGACGUAAAGAGAAGAGUGGUCGUGACAUGAACUGCACUUUCUUGUGUGCAGGCGGUGUCCACCUUUUGGGUGGAUGG